rnacentral:rRNA from 1 species
CCUACGGGAGGCAGCAGUGGGGGAUAUUGCACAAUGGGGGAAACCCUGAUGCAGCGACGCCGCGUGUAGGAAGACGGUCCUCUGGAUUGUAAACUACUGUCCCCAGGGACUAAGAUGACGGUACCUGGGGAGGAAGCUCCGGCUAACUACGUGCCAGCAGCCGCGGUACUACGUAGGGAGCGAGCGUUGUCCGGAAUUACUGGGUGUAAAGGGAGCGUAGGCGGGGAUGCAAGUUGGGUGUUAAAUCUACCGGCUCAACUGGUAGUCGCACUCAAAACUGCAGCUCUUGAGUGAAGUAGAGGCAGGCGGAAUUCCUAGUGUAGCGGUGAAAUGCGUAGAUAUUAGGAGGAACACCAGUGGCGAAGGCGGCCUGCUGGGCUUUUACUGACGCUGAGGCUCGAAAGUGUGGGGAGCAAACAGGAUUAGAUACCCCAGUAGUC